AACCAUCGGCUCGGUUUCCCGCCGCCUGGUCAAGUGCGUGGGAGGGAAGCUCGCUUUGUGUUUUAAACCUAGAAGCAGACGGAUGUGCAUGGCCUUGAGGAAAUUAAGCGAUUUAGGAGGAAUGUAGGCAGUGGACCACGAGGGGAUUAAGACGGACGGUCCUUACGGUGGGAAAGCAAACGAUUUGGUAAGUAAGAGUAUUAUUUUGUUAAGAGAUCGCUCAUGACAUUUUUGGUUCCUCGAAGUGCAUGGUAAUGCCUAGGUAUAUUUCUUAAAGAUUCUAUGUGCAAUUAUUGUUAUUUUAACCAUUGUGAUCACUGAGAAAUUGAUUCUAAUGUGAGUUAAGGGAUUUACCUGUCCUAGUGUUAAGGAGUUUUCAUUUAACUAAAAUGGCAAAAUUGUCACCACUGUGAAUAUUUAUGUUUGUUCAUUUUUUCAGUGACCGAUUGUAAUAAAGGAAACUAUAAGA